UAGAAAACACCAUUACUGGUGUGAAUCUUGAGACAAAAUAAUGGCAGAGGCAAAAAUAAUUUGUUCAAAAAACUUUAGUGAGUAUGAAAAAGCGCUACUAGAACAAAUUUUGUCGAACAAUCCAGUUAUUGAAAAUAAAAACCGUACUGCUGCUACUGGGCAAAGAAAGAGUGGUUGGGCUGCAAUUUGCAGUGAAUUCAAUGCAAAUAAAAACGUAACCACAAGAAGGGAACAACCACUUCAGAGCACCAGCAACCUCUGGAUGGUAUACCAGACGAUGACCAUUUGGACAGUUCAGAUGAAGAACUGAGCACAAAUGUCCUCCCGGUUUUGACCCUUGCCUGUUUCUGGACUGU